GGCUGUGGUUUUCGUGGAGUGCACUUAGAAUCAGGACGUGAAUUAAGUUUGUGGUGUGUUCCCGCAUUCCGAGGGUGCUUGCACAGAACUUUAGUGGGACCCGCGCUUCUGUCCUUUGAAAAUUGGUUUUUCUGGAAAUAACCCCGUGUUGGGAUCCCCCAGGGAAAUGAAGAAACCUCGUGGUUGAGUUUCUGCUCCGCCGCCCACCUAGGGUGAGCGGCUAAAACGCCGAAAGCGUCCUGCCUUCGAGCCAGAGCCGAACACCGUAUACCUCUAUCACACUUGCCCAACCUGUCUUUUCUGAAUUUCUUUCUAUUUCAGCCAUUGGUAGCAGAAGCCAGUCAACGCCACCACUACACAAAGAAUCAAAGACAAGCUGGGUUGGAAAUCCGUCUGGUCCGUUCCCACCCCCACUUUGCAGGAUCUAACCAGUGGGGCUCUUUUGUACCCUGAUGACUAUGAACAUUUGUUCUAUUGACUACACUAGUUGGAGAUUUGCUUGAAUGUAAAUAAGAAGCUGAUGAUGGUUGACCCAACCUAUGGCUGGAAGAAUGAGAGUGCAGCCAAGUACUUAAAUGAGGUCCCAUUAUCGGCCUUUAGUGAACUGGCUGCUCUUCUCUCACGGCUUUGCAACCAGCACAGAGCCCAAAGCGGGGCUUGAACUCAUGACCUG